AUUGAACGCUGGCGGCAUGCUUUACACAUGCAAGUCGAACGGCAGCACGGGGGCAACCCUGGUGGCGAGUGGCGAACGGGUGAGUAAUACAUCGGAACGUAUCUUCGAGUGGGGGAUAACGCACCGAAAGGUGUGCUAAUACCGCAUAAUCUCCACGGAGAAAAGCAGGGGAUCGCAAGACCUUGCGCUCUUGGAGCGGCCGAUGUCUGAUUAGCUAGUUGGUGAGGUAAUGGCUUACCAAGGCGACGAUCAGUAGCUGGUCUGAGAGGACGACCAGCCACACUGGGACUGAGACACGGCCCAGACUCCUACGGGAGGCAGCAGUGGGGAAUGUUGGACAAUGGGGGAAACCCUGAUCCAGCCAUGCCGCGUGAGUGAAGAAGGCCUUCGGGUUGUAAAGCUCUUUCAGCCGGAACGAAACGGUCACGGCUAAUACCUGUGAUCACUGACGGUACCGGAAGAAGAAGCACCGGCUAACUACGUGC
rnacentral:rRNA from 1 species